rnacentral:lncRNA from 1 species
GUGUUUCAGAGGAGUUGAGAUGACAAACUGUUGCAGAAGUACAUUGAAGCAAAUAAGUUCAAAGGGGCAUAACUCCUAGAAAAAAAAUUGAACCGUAAUUUCCUGUUGAUAUGCACAUCUACAUAGUAUGUCCUUAUUAUCUACAAAGUUUCGUGAAAUUCUGUUGUGUGGUUUGAGAGGAGUUGCGAUGACAAACUGUUGCAGUAGUACAUUAAAGUAAAUAAGUUCAAAGGGGCGUAACUCCUAGAAAAAAAAUUGAAUCGCAAUUUCCCGUCGAUAUGCACAACUACAUAGUAUGUCCUUAUUAUCUGAAAAGGUUUCGUGAAAUUCUGUUGUGUGGUUUGAGAGGAGUUGCGAUGACAAACUGUUGCAGUAGAGCAUUAAAGUAAAUAAGUUCAAGGGGGCGUAACUCCUAGAAAAAAAUUGAAUCGCAAUUUCCCGUCGAUAUGCACAACAACAUAGUAUGUCCUUAUUAUCUGAAAAGGUUUCGUGAAAUUCUGUUGUGUGGUUUGAGAGGAGUUGCGAUGACAAACUGUUGCAGUAGUACAUUAAAGUAAAUAAGUUCAAAGGGGCGUAACUCCUAGAAAAAAAAUUGAAUCGCAAUUUCCCGUCGAUAUGCACAACUACAUAGUAUGUCCUUAUUAUCUGAAAAGGUUUCGUGAAAUUCUGUUGUGUG